ACAGCAGCCGCCACGGGAAUACGGAGGGUGCAAGCGUUAAUCGGAAUUACUGGGCGUAAAGCGCACGCAGGCGGUCUGACAAGUCAGAUGUGAAAUCCCCGGGCUUAACCUGGGAACUGCAUUUGAAACUGUCAGGCUGGAGUCUUGUAGAGGGGGGUAGAAUUCCAGGUGUAGCGGUGAAAUGCGUAGAGAUCUGGAGGAAUACCGGUGGCGAAGGCGGCCCCCUGGACAAAGACUGACGCUCAGGUGCGAAAGCGUGGGGAGCAAACAGGAUUAGAUACCCCUGUAGUCCCUGUCUCUUAUAC
rnacentral:rRNA from 1 species